UACGGAGGGCGCAAGCGUUGUUCGGACUCACUUGGCGUAAAGCGCGUGUAGGCGGCUUGGUAAGUCGGGUGUGAAAGCCCGGAGCUCAACUCCGGAACUGCAUUCGAAACUACCUCGCUCGAGUCCCGGAGAGGGUGGUGGAAUUCCCGGUGUAGAGGUGAAAUUCGUAGAUAUCGGGAGGAACACCAGUGGCGAAGGCGGCCACCUGGACGGUACUGACGCUGAGACGCGAAAGCGUGGGGAGCGAACAGG
rnacentral:rRNA from 1 species